rnacentral:rRNA from 1 species
UACGAGGGGUGCAAACGUUAUUCGGAUUUACUGGGUGUAAAGGGUGUGUAGACGGCGCAUUAAGUUCAUUGUUAAAUCUUCUGGCCUAACUGGAAGGUCGCGAUGAAAACUGAUGUGCUUGAGGAUGGAAGAGAGAAGUGGAAUUCUCGGAGUAGCGGUAAAAUGCGUAGAUCUCGAGAGGAACACCGAUGGCGAAGGCAGCUUUUUGGUCCAUUCCUGACGUUGAGACACGAAAGCGUGGGGAGCAAACAGG